rnacentral:rRNA from 1 species
GAUGAACGCUGGCGGCGUGCCUAAUACAUGCGAGUCGAGCGAACGGACGAGAAGCUUGCUUCUCUGAUGUUAGCGGCGGACGGGUGAGUAACACGUGGAUAACCUACCUAUAAGACUGGGAUAACUUCGGGAAACCGGAGCUAAUACCGGAUAAUAUUUUGAACCGCAUGGUUCAAAAGUGAAAGACGGUCUUGCUGUCACUUAUAGAUGGAUCCGCGCUGCAUUAGCUAGUUGGUAAGGUAACGGCUUACCAAGGCAACGAUGCAUAGCCGACCUGAGAGGGUGAUCGGCCACACUGGAACUGAGCCACGGUCCAGACUCCUACGGGAGGCAGCAGUAGGAAUCUUCCGCAAUGGGCGAAAGCCUGACGGAGCAACGCCGCGUGAGUGAUGAAGGUCUUCGGAUCGUAAAACUCUGUUAUUAGGGAAGAACAUAUGUGUAAGUAACUGUGCACAUCUUGACGGUACCUAAUCAGAAAGCCACGGCUAACUACGUG